rnacentral:rRNA from 1 species
UUGAUCUCAAAUCAGGUAGGACUACCCGCUGAACUUAAGCAUAUCAAUAAGCGGAGGAAAAGAAACUAACAAGGAUUCCCCUAGUAACUGCGAGUGAAGCGGGAAGAGCUCAAAUUUAAAAUCUGGUGUGCCUCUGGUCACCCGAGUUGUAGUCUGGAGAAGCGUUUUCUGUGUUGGGCCGUGUAUAAGUCCCUUGGAACAGGGCGUCAUAGAGGGUGAGAAUCCCGUCUUUGACACGGACUGCCAAUGCUUUGUGAUGCGCUCUCAAAGAGUCGAGUUGUUUGGGAAUGCAGCUCAAAAUGGGUGGUAAAUUCCAUCUAAAG